GCGGGCAAGGGGUUCCAGGAGGAAUUUGAAAUUCUUUCUUUCGUUUAGUUAACGAUGCCCGCU
rnacentral:tRNA from 1 species